AUUGAACGCUGGCGGAAUGCUUUACACAUGCAAGUCGAGCGGCAGCACGGGGGCAACCCUGGUGGCGAGCGGCGAACGGGUGAGUAAUACAUCGGAACAUGCCCAGUCGUGGGGGAUAACACUUCGAAAGAAGUGCUAAUACCGCAUACGUCCUGAGGGGGAAAGCGGGGGAUCGCAAGACCUCGCGCGAUUGGAGUGGCCGAUGUCAGAUUAGCUAGUUGGUGGGGUAAAGGCCUACCAAGGCAACGAUCUGUAGCUGGUCUGAGAGGAUGAUCAGCCACACUGGGACUGAGACACGGCCCAGACUCCUACGGGAGGCAGCAGUGGGGAAUUUUGGACAAUGGGGGCAACCCUGAUCCUGCCAUUCCGCGUGAGUGAAGAAGGCCUUCGGGUUGUAAAGCUCUUUCGGCAGGAACGAAACGGUGAGCUCUAACAUAGCUUGCUAAUGACGGUACCUGAAGAAGAAGCACCGGCUAACUACGUG
rnacentral:rRNA from 1 species